GAGUCUGGCGCCCCACUAGCUGGGCAGGGCCAAGGCCAUCCAGAAAAUCACUGAAUUGGCUAUCAGAGGCCAAGCGGACACCAGGGAAAAUCAGACUAAAAGUAAAAUAACACACAGGAUUAAACCCUCCACUCCUGUUUCCAUCUAGCCCCCUUUCCGUGGCAGGAGCAGCUGGUCCCACUAUUUUGCCACUUACAUUAAUUGGAUCCCAACCUCCCCACUGCACCUCCAUGGCUCUCCCUCCUUAUCCUCUAGCAGCCCUCGUCCUGUAUUGCAAGCCUCUGUUUAUGUGCCUUUCUUUUCCUUGUCUGGAGGGCAUGAACUGUGAUUUCUAUGUAUAGCACUCAGUACACUUUGAGCACUUUUUCCAUGACAGGCAUUAGCAUACUGAAUCUCUUAGCUGCACUAUGACAGAGGUUCUAUUAUUUAACCCAUUUUAUCGAUGAAGAAAGUCUUCAGAUCAGAUCAUUCCCAUCAACACCCAAACACACUGCUAUUUCUUCCACCUUAAAAAAAUCCCUUUCCUAACCUCCUUCCCUCCCCAGCUACCACCCCGUUUCUCUCCUUGAAACUUCGUAGAGCUGUCUCUAUGUACCAUCUUCAAUUUCUUUCCUCUCAUUCUCCUUUGAAAAUCGAAUCAGUUUUUCCUUGCUCUUUUCCUCAAUUUUUCUCCACUCCACCAAAAUUUCUCUGAUCAAGGUUACCUAACAGCCACAGUGGUAAAUCUGACCGUUAAUACUCCAGACUUGUCUAAUUGAACAUAUUAGCCUCAUUUGACCCAACUGAUCCCUCCCUCUUCCUUGAAAUACUUUCUCCACUUUGCUUCCUGGACUCUCUAGCCUCCUGGUUUUCCUCUUUGGCUAUUCUUCCUCAGUCUCCUUUGCUAAUUUUGCCACUAAAUAUAGGAGGCGCCAUCUUUUGACUUCUCUUCAAGCCAUCAUUUUCUCUUUCUGUAUUGCUGCGACAGCCUUCUGAAUGAUCUCCCCAUUGCCACCUUCCUCUCCACUCCCACAGCAAUCAGAAUGAUCUGUUAAAACUGAAGCCAGAUAAUGUCAGGCCUCUGCUCACAAUCCUCCAUUGGUUUCUCAUCUCGAUCUGGGUAAAAGCAAAGUCCUUGCAAUGGUGUAUAAAGACAAUACAACCUGUCCACCCCUGCCCCCCAUAUCUUAAUUCCUAGAUUUUUACUACUCCUGCCCUCAUUCCCCGGUGCCGCCAUUCCCACUACUGAUGCCAGGUAAGCUCCAGCCUCAGCGUUGCUUCAGCCUGAAAUGUUCUUCCUUCAGACAUUCAUGUGUUCACUAACUUCCUUCAGAUUUUAAAUCAAAUGUGCCCUUUUCCCUGUCUAACCUACAUAAAACCUUACCCUUAACCUCUGCCAUCUCUUCUCUCACCUUUUUCUCCUUAGCACUUAUACCACCUAAUCUAUUAUAUAUUUUCCUAAUUUUUCUUUUAUUUGAACAAUUUUUCAAGUUCAUUGUCCAUCUUAUCUGUUAGACUGUAAGUUUGAUGAGGGUAGGGUUUUUUUCUUAUUUGUUCACUGAUAUAUAUCCAGCACUAGAACCAUGCCUGAAAUACUGUAAGUACUUGUUAAACUCAAUCAAUUAAUUAAAAUGAAUCUUAAAAAAAUUACAUAACUUGCCCAAGUUUCUAUAGCACCAAAAAACAGAUUAGAAUUUAAGCCUAUAUGAUUCUAAAGCCUAUGGUCUAACCACCAACUGAUUUUUGCUUCCUCGUAUGACAUAUAUCCCCAACUCAUAGCAAAGUGCCUAGAACACUAGAAGGUAUGGAAAUAUCUGUUGAAUGAAUUUAUGAGUAUUCAUCCCAUUUCUCCAAUAAGACUAUACACACCUGGAGCACAGGGGUCAUAGUUUGAACAUUUUUAUAUCCCUAACAGUGUCUAAUGCAGUGCUUUGCAGUGAUGAGUGCUCACUGCACAUUUCUUUUUUACUUGAUUCUCCAUCUCUUUUAAGACUUCCUUGAUUAACGUCAAAUCUAUUUCGUCCCCCAAGCUUGCUUAAUUCCCAAAUAUACAGUUAAUCUGAACAUUUUUAAUGCUUCCAUAAAUAUCCCAUAUAACCUUACUUAUAAAUGUAUGGAAACCAUAUGUAUCUCGUAUUUAUAUAACUGUGCUAUAGACAAAUGAUCCCUAGGGCAGAUCAUCAGCGCUCUGCCAGCUGCUCCUAUGGCCCCACAUCUGCGAACUGACGACACAUAUGUUUGCCUAAGCACCUGAUGCUUCCAUGGUGAUGACAGAUGAGGGCUGUACAAUCUUGACAAAUGCUUUAAAAAUAUCUCAGACACAGUGGAGUCAAGGGAAAGCUACAUGAUAACUACAUAAAGGAAAGGCUCACCAACUUUGUGGCAUUUCAUUUUGGCUGUUACAUUUAUCUGAACUCUUUGUUACUGGAUGGAACUAAGGUGAUCAGUAUUAGAAAGCAAAGAAAGCUACACAAAGGAGAGAGCCUCGCCUGAUAACACUUUCACAUCUGUUCGUCACUUUCAGAGAGGUUCUCAUAAGGAAUGCAAAACCCAGCAAUGCCAUGUGAAAAAAGAGCUUUUAAAUUUUUGGUCAUGGAUAGUCAUGUUCUUAAGGAUCUUCAACAGUCUGAAUAGGAGGUUUGCUUACGGAAGCCAAUUAGAAGACCAAACAGGAAACUGAGUCAAGUACCACGGAGGUGACAGAGGUGCGAAGUGCCAUCUGCAGAGGUCAGGGAGGAAGAGCAUCACAGAGGGAGCUGGGACGUGAGCUGGGCUUGAAAAAUGGGCAGAUGGGGAUCCAAGAAACAGUCCCAGUUAUCAAAGGCCUUGCAUGUUGGAAUGUGGAGCUGAGAGAUGACUGAAGCUGCAGCAACAGGGGGAUGGUUCAAAUUACUUGUAUUAAUUUACUUCCUGUCAGGUCUAAAUAUUUAUCCACAUUGACUAUUCAUAUCAUUAGUAUUCUGGGAUAUGGUAAGCUCUUUUAGUGCCUGGUAUUAAUAAUUUCAUUUUAGAUCAAUAAAUAUUUGGUGAUAUUGACAGUGACUUGUGGAAAUCCUUUCCAUCAAACCGCUUAUAAUAUCUGCUCACCAUUUUGAAAC